GUAAGGGCGUGCGGUGGAUGCCUUGACUGAAGAAGGCGAUGAAGGACGCGGCUUAGCUGCGAUAUGCUCCGGGGAGGCGCUCAGCAACCUUCGAUCCGGAGAUUUCCGAAUGGGGAAACCCCAUCGAGUGAACCUCGAUGACUCUCUACUUAAACGAUAGGGAGGGCAGACCUCGGGAAGUGAAACAUCUCAGUACCGAGAGGAAAAGAGAACAAUAGUUAUUCCCUUAGUAGCGGCGAGCGAAACGGGAGGAGCCCAAACUCAGCCACAAUGUAGUUCUGCGAAGCAAUUCGUAGAGCAACAUUGGGGAUGGGGGUCAUAAGGCUACGGCGUGUGCGCGAAAGCGCACGUAGAGUCAAAAAAUGCUUAGUUAGAGGAACGCGCUGGGAAGCGCGGCCCCAGAGGGUAAUAGCCCCGUACUCGAAAACGAAGCAUCUCUAUGGCUGUAGUUCUUGAGUAGCCCGAGACAUGAAUAGCUCGGGUGAAUUCGCCAGAACUAACUGGUAAGGCUACAUACUUCUUCAGAUCGAUAGUGAACAAGUACCGUGAGGGAAAGGUGAAAAGAACCCCGGUGAGGGGAGUGAAAUAGAACUGAAACCGCAUGCCUACAAGGAGUCAGCGCGGGCGCGCAAGCGUCCGUCAUGGCGUGCCUAUUGAAGAAUGAGCCAACGAGUUGAUGCAUACGGCUUGGCUAAGUCCUCAACGGACGGAGCCGCAGCGAAAGCGAGUGUGAAUAGCGCGUUCGUCGUAUGUAUCAGACCCGAAGCAACGUGAGCUACCCAUGAGCAGGCUGAACGUUCUCGAAAGAGAACGGGAGGGCCGAACCGAUAGGUUGUGCAACACCUCCGGAUGACUUGUGGGUCGGAGUGAAAAGCUUAUCGAACGUUGUAAUAGCUGGUUCUCUCCGAAAGAGCUUUCGGGCUUGCGUCGCAUGUUCCCUUUGGGGGUAGAGCACUGGAAGGUCUCGACAGGUCGAAAGACCGCGAGACCUAUCAAACUCCGAAUACCAGAGGUCAGAAUGCGGCAGUUAGACCAUGGGGGCGAAGCUCCAUUGGUCAAAAGGGAAACAGCCCAGAUCGCCAGUUAAGGUCCCUAAAUCGAUGCUAAGUGCUAGGAAGGAGGUGAGAUUUCGGAGACAGUGAGGAUGUUGGCUUAGAAGCAGCCACCAUUCAAAGAAAGCGUAACAGCUCACUCACUUAGAGAUCUCGCGCCAAAAAUGAUCGGGGCUAAGCAUCGUACCGAAACUGCGGGCUUGUGUGUUUCAUUGAGCACCAGAUUGAGUUAGACAACAACAGAGGAGAACGAUCAUGAAGUACACACUAACGUAUCUGCUGAAGGAAGACGUCGCCGACAUUGACCUGGAUGAACGCGGACCUCGUUACGACAAGGUCCACAGGAUCGAGGAAAAGGACGACAUCACCGCUGCGAAAGCGGCAAGGAAAUUUCUUCGGGGGAAGAAAGUGGUGAGCAAAUCCCUCCGGAGGGAGGCGGAGAAUGUUCCGCUCUGAGUUCGUUACGUUGUCGGGAACGGGGUAGAUAAAACUAUCCCUUCCCAAAUCAAUUUAAUCUGGUUUUUAAUGAAACACGCAAGCGGUAGGAGAGCGUUCCAAUCUGCGAUGAAGGUAAAGGGGAGACCCAUACUGGAGCGUUUGGAAGUGAAAAUGUUGGCACGAGUAACCGCAAUGCGAGUGAGAUUCUCGCACGCCGAAAGAUCAAGGUUUCCUUCGCAAUGGAGAUCAGCGAAGGGUUAGUCGGGCCUAAGCCGAUGGCGAACGCCGGAGGCGAUGGACACACGGUUAAUAUUCCGUGACCUCGGUAUGUUGCGAUGGGGGGACGGAGUGCUGUACCUCGAGCCCAUUAUUGGAUUUGGGUUCGUGCCGUGAGGGCGUUUUCCAGGUAAAUCCGGAAAGCACACCCCAAGCGGAGCGGAUAUCUAGAGGCCUCGGCCGAAGGAGAUUCGAGGGAGCGCGCUUUCGAGAAAAACCUCUAAGCAUAAGCAUAUCGAGACCGUACCAAAACCGACACAGGUGAUCAGCUCGAGUAGAGUAAGGCGAACGAGUGAGAGGUCCUCAAGGAACUCGGCAAAAAAUCGACCGUAACUUCGGGAUAAGGUCUGUCCCUCGCAAGAGGGGCCGCAGCUAAAGAUUCCCUGACAACUGUUUACCAAAAACACAGCUCCCUGCGAACUCGUAAGAGGAUGUAUAGGGGGUGAUGCCUGACCAAUGCCGGAAGGUCAAAUGCGGGCGGUGUGUGCAUUUAUGUGCAUGCUGGAUUGCAUAAGCCCCGGUGAAUGUCGGCGAUAACUAUAAUCGUCCUAAGGUUCUGCUUCUCUUGUAAAGAGGGGAGCGGAAGGACUGGGACGAUUAUGGAUAGGUAAACAAUAAAAUACCAAACUGCCUCCCUGUGCAGUAAUGCACAGAUGGUCCUAAAAUACAUGGCUAUAUGCUGGGAAAGCUCGUUAUAAUCUAUAGUGAAUAUAUUCCUUAGAUUAUGAAACGAGCCGAUCAGCAGGAAAGACUAGAACUUGAAAGUUGGAUUGUUGGUUUUACUGAUGGUGAAGGAUGCUUCUCAAUAAGCAUAUUCCAGAAUAAAACCUCCAGAAUCGGUUGGCAGAUUUUUCCCGAGUUUGUAAUAACUCAGGGAGAGAAAAGCUUACCAGCGCUUAAGCUGUUCGAACGAUACUUCAAAUGCGGGAAGAUUUUCGUAAAUAAACGUUACGACAAUCAUUCUGAACAUUUGUAUCGGUACUGCGUACGAUCUGUGAGAGAUUUGAAAGAGAAGGUUAUUCCUUUCUUUCAACUUCACAAAUUGCGCACCGCAAAACAGGACGAUUUCCGGAUCUUUGCAGAGAUAGUAAAGAUGAUCGCAAACAAGCGACAUCUUUCAAAAAGGGGUCUGCAAAUGAUUGCGCGGAAAAUAGAGCGCAUGAAUCGUAAAAAAACAUCAAAAUUUCUAG
rnacentral:rRNA from 1 species